GAGACCGAGUCUGCGUCUCUCACAUGGGUAGGCAGACCAUUCCAUAAAUAUUGAGCUCUAUAGGAGAAAGCCCUGCCUCCAGCUGUUUGCUUAGAAAUUCUAGGGACAAUAAGGAGGCCUGCGUCUUGCGACCGUAGCGCACGUGUAGGUAUGUAUGGCAGGACGAAAUCGAAAAGAAGCCCAUCUAAUGCUUUGUAGUUUAGCAGUAAAACCUUGAAAUCAGCCCUAGCCUUAACAGGAAGCCAGUGUAGGGAGGCUAGCACUGGAGUAAUAUGAUCAAAUGUUUUGGUUCUAGUCAAGAUUCUAGGGUUAUAAUUCAGCCAGUAGGUUAAUGUGUUCAGUCAUCAGUCUAUGGUGUUCCUGUAUGUGCAGCUACAGCAGGAUGUGGUUAACACCCAGGUCGGCUUCACUCCACACCCCAGUCGGUUACACACAAGCUCCCUAGGUGUCUCGCCUGCUUCCUACUGCCUGUGAAACCAGGAAGUUGUGUUGGUGCUAGGACGACGAGGACCGGGAAUGCUGAUCUUGUUCUCUCUCCGCCCGCUGUGGAUGAGGCUCACUGUGUGUGUGUGUGUGUGUGUGUGUGUGUGUGUGUGUGUGUGUGCCAACAGACUGUAGCUCCAUAGGCGCUGCCUGUCUGCGCUGAGAUCCAUCCUAUUAGAUGAUUUUCCAGACUUUGGGUGGCUGCUGUCUGUUGUCUGCUGUCGGCUGUGUGUGUGUGUGUGUGAUAGAAAGAGAUUGUGUGAAGUGCAAAGCAGGGUACCGCAAGUCGCUCUGGGUGUCGUUGCCAAUGCAUGUUUUCUUGGCUGUCGACCAGUACAUUCUGUUAGACCAGUGCUGUUGGAAGGAGAGCGUUUACAUUGAGAUCAGAUAAUAUGGCGUUCUGAUAAUCGCUCUGGGUUAUCUGGAGGUAAAUAG
rnacentral:lncRNA from 1 species